CACUCAUCAGGCAGCAUUCUGAUAGCAACAUAGAUUCAGUUAGAAGUGUGUUGACUUGGCUGUCCGGGAUCGAUUAGGCUCAACUCCAUAUCAUGAGUUGCAGACCAACCAGGUUCAUAUGUUUCAAGAAAUCCAAUCUUAGCCUUAUUUGGGAGAUCAUGUGGGUGAACAAAUGGAACUCCCGGUGGCCAUCCAAUUUCCAUUCUUAUGUUCGUACAUGGGCUAUCAAGUGACUGGAUGUGACUUUCACAAUCCUUUAAGGUGCAGAACCUCAGCUUAAUGCCCUUUUUAUCAGCUAUGUCUUGAACUCUCUCUUUGAGAACUCCAUCCAAUUUCCAUUCUUAUGUUCGUACAUGGGCUAUCAAGUGACUGGAUGUGACUUUCACAAUCCUUUAAGGUGCAGAACCUCAGCUUAAUGCCCUUUUUAUCAGCUAUGUCUUGAACUCUCUCUUUGAGAACUCUUUGUGCCUCCAAUCUCAACCUCUUUGAAGGUGGAAGAG
rnacentral:misc_RNA from 1 species